rnacentral:rRNA from 1 species
GACGAAGGUGGCAAGCGUUGCUCGGAAUCACUGGGCAUAAAGCGCGCGUAGGUGGCUCGAUAAGUCGAUGGUGAAAUCCCAUGGCUCAACCAUGGAACUGCCACCGAAACUGUCGGGCUUGAGGACGGUAGGGGAGAGUGGAACUCCUGGUGUAGCGGUGAAAUGCGUAGAUAUCAGGAGGAACGCCGGUGGCGAAAGCGACUCUCUGGGCCGCUCCUGACACUGAUGUGCGAAAGCUAGGGGAGCAAACAGGAUUAGAUACCCUGGUAGUCCUAGCUGUAAACGAUGGGCACUAGGUAGAGGUGGUUUCGAAACCUCCUCUGCCGGAGCUAAUGUAUUAAGUGCCCCGCCUGGGGAGUAUGGUCGCAAGGCUAAA